rnacentral:rRNA from 1 species
UACGUAGGGCGCAAGCGUUGUCCGGAAUUAUUGGGCGUAAAGAGCUCGUAGGUGGCUUGUCGCGUCUGCCGUGAAAGCCCGGGGCUUAACCCCGGGUCUGCAUUCGAUACGGGCUGGCUAGAGUGUGGUAGGGGAGAUCGGAAUUCCUGGUGUAGCGGUGAAAUGCGCAGAUAUCAGGAGGAACACCGGUGGCGAAGGCGGAUCUCUGGGCCAUUACUGACGCUGAGGAGCGAAAGCGUGGGGAGCGAACAGG